AGCAGCCGCGGUAACUCCAGCUCCAAUAGCGUAUAUUAAAGUUGUUGCAGUUAAAAAGCUCGUAGUUGAAUUUCGGGAUCAAUAUGUUGGUCGUGCCUCGGUACGUACUAGCAUAUUGGUUUCUCCUUUCUGAAGAACCAUGAUGUCAUUUAUUUGGUGUCGUGGGGAAUCAGGACUGUUACUUUGAAAAAAUUAGAGUGUUUAAAGCAGGCUCACGCUUGAAUACAUUAGCAUGGAAUAAUGAAAUAGGACGUUUGAUUCUAUUUUGUUGGUUUCUAGGAUCGACGUAAUGAUUAAUAGGGAUAGUUGGGGGCAUUAGUAUUCAAUUGUCAGAGGUGAAAUUCUUGGAUUUAUUGAAGACUAACUACUGCGAAAGCAUUUGCCAAGGAUGUUUUCAUUAAUCAAGAACGAAAGUUAGGGGAUCGAAGACGAUCAGAUACCGUCGUAGUCUUAACCAUAAACUAUGCCGACUAGGGAUCGGAUGAUGUUAAUUUUUAAUGUA
rnacentral:rRNA from 1 species